rnacentral:rRNA from 1 species
UACAGAGGGUGCAAGCGUUAAUCGGAAUUACUGGGCGUAAAGCGCACGCAGGCGGUUGGUUAAGUCAGAUGUGAAAGCCCCGGGCUCAACCUGGGAAUUGCAUUUGAAACUGGCCAACUAGAGUACGUGAGAGGGGGGUAGAAUUCCAAGUGUAGCGGUGAAAUGCGUAGAUAUAGGAAGGAACACCAGUGGCGAAGGCGACCACCUGGACUGAUACUGACACUGAGGUGCGAAAGCGUGGGGAGCAAACAGG